UACGUAGGGGGCAAGCGUUAUCCGGAUUUACUGGGUGUAAAGGGAGCGUAGACGGCUAAUCAAGUCAGAUGUGAAAACUAUGGGCUCAACCCAUAGCCUGCAUUUGAAACUGUAUUUCUUGAGUGCUGGAGAGGCAAUCGGAAUUCCGUGUGUAGCGGUGAAAUGCGUAGAUAUACGGAGGAACACCAGUGGCGAAGGCGGAUUGCUGGACAGUAACUGACGCUGAGGUACGAAAGCGUGGGGAGCAAACAGG
rnacentral:rRNA from 1 species